rnacentral:rRNA from 1 species
CGGCGAGCGAAACCGGAUUAGCCCUUAAGCUUUUUAUGCGUCAGGUGAAGUGUCUGGAAAGGCACGCGAUACAGGGUGAUAGCCCCGUAACCGGCAGCGCAUAUUCAGUGAAAUCGAGUAAGGCGGGACACGUGAUAUCCUGUCUGAACAUGGGGGGACCAUCCUCCAAGGCUAAAUACUCCUGACUGACCGAUAGUGAACCAGUACCGUGAGGGAAAGGCGAAAAGAACCCCUGUGAGGGGAGUGAAAUAGAACCUGAAACCGUGUACGUACAAGCAGUAGGAGCAGGCUUUGUCCUGUGACUGCGUACCUUUUGUAUAAUGGGUCAGCGACUUAUAUUCAGUGGCAAGGUUAACCGUUUAGGGGAGCCGUAGGGAAACCGAGUCUUAACUGGGCGCUCAGUCUCUGGAUAUAGACCCGAAACCAGGUGAUCUAGCCAUGGGCAGGUUGAAGAUUGAGUAACAUCAAUUGGAGGACCGAACCGACUAAUGUUGAAAAAUUAGCGGAUGACUUGUGGCUAGGGGUGAAAGGCCAAUCAAACCUGGAGAUAGCUGGUUCUCCCCGAAAGCUAUUUAGGUAGCGCCUCGGACGAAUACUACUGGGGGUAGAGCACUGUUAAGGCUAGGGGGUCAUCCCGACUUACCAACCCUUUGCAAACUCCGAAUACCAGUAAGUACUAUCCGGGAGACACACGGCGGGUGCUAACGUCCGUCGUGGAGAGGGAAACAACCCAGACCGCCAGCUAAGGUCCCAAAUUAUAGCUAAGUGGGAAACGAUGUGGGAAGGCUUAGACAGCUAGGAUGUUGGCUUAGAAGCAGCCAUCAUUUAAAGAAAGCGUAAUAGCUCACUAGUCGAGUCGGCCUGCGCGGAAGAUGUAACGGGGCUAAGCUAUAAACCGAAGCUGCGGCAAUACAGUUUACUGUAUUGGGUAGGGGAGCGUUCUGUAAGCCGUUGAAGGUGAGUUGUAAAGCUUGCUGGAGGUAUCAGAAGUGCGAAUGCUGACAUGAGUAACGAUAAUGGGGGUGAAAAACCUCCACGCCGGAAGACCAAGGGUUCCUGUCCAACGUUAAUCGGGGCAGGGUAAGUCGACCCCUAAGGCGAGGCUGAAAAGCGUAGUCGAUGGGAAACGGGUUAAUAUUCCCGUACUGCUUAUAAUUGCGAUGGGGGGACGGAGAAGGCUAGGUGGGCCUGGCGAUGGUUGUCCAGGUUCAAGUGCGUAGGCUAAGGAAUUAGGUAAAUCCGGUUCCUUGUUAGGCCGAGACACGACGUCGAGUCACUACGGUGAUGAAGUCAUUGAUGCCAUGCUUCCAGGAAAAGCCUCUAAGCUUCAGAUUAUAAGCAAUCGUACCCCAAACCGACACAGGUGGUCGGGUAGAGAAUACCAAGGCGCUUGAGAGAACUCGGGUGAAGGAACUAGGCAAAAUGGUACCGUAACUUCGGGAGAAGGUACGCUCUUGACGGUGAAGUCCCUUGCGGAUGGAGCUAUUAGGAGUCGCAGAUACCAGGUGGCUGCAACUGUUUAUUAAAAACACAGCACUGUGCAAAAUCGUAAGAUGACGUAUACGGUGUGACGCCUGCCCGGUGCCGGAAGGUUAAUUGAUGGGGUUAGACUUAGGUCGACGCUCUUGAUCGAAGCCCCGGUAAACGGCGGCCGUAACUAUAACGGUCCUAAGGUAGCGAAAUUCCUUGUCGGGUAAGUUCCGACCUGCACGAA